rnacentral:rRNA from 1 species
UCUGGUGCCAGCAGCCGCGGUAAUUCCAGCUCCAAUAGCGUAUAUUAAAGUUGUUGCAGUUAAAAAGCUCGUAGUUGGAUUUCUGGAUCUUGACGGCGGUUCACCUUGUGUGAUACUUGCUGUUGGGGUCCAUCCUCCCGAAGACGCGUCGUGUCCUUCAUUGGAUGCGGCGUGGACUCGGGACUUUUACUUUGAAAAAAUUAGAGUGUUCAAAGCAGGCUUACGCUUGAAUACUUCAGCAUGGAAUAAUGGAAUAGGACCUCGGUCUUAUUUUGUUGGUUUCUAAGACCGAAGUAAUGAUUAAAAGGGACAGUUGGGGGCAUUAGUAUUUCAUUGUCAGAGGUGAAAUUCUUAGAUUUAUGAAAGACUAACUACUGCGAAAGCAUUUGCCAAGGAUGUUUUCAUUAAUCAAGAACGAAAGUUAGGGGAUCGAAGACGAUCAGAUACCGUCGUAGUCUUAACCAUAAACUAUGCCAACUAGGGAUCGGUGGGCGUUAUUUAUUGACCUCAUCGGCACCUUAUGAGAAAUCAAAGUUUUUGGGUUCUGGGGGGAGUAUGGUCGCAAGGCUGAAACUUAAAGGAAUUGACGGAAGGGCACCACCAGGAGUGGAGCCUGCGGCUUAAUUUGACCCAACACGGGGAAACUCACCAGGUCCAGACAAAGGUAGGAUUGACAGAUUGAGAGCUCUUUCUUGAUUCUUUGGGUGGUGGUGCAUGGCCGUUCUUAGUUGGUGGAGUGAUUUGUCUGCUUAAUUGUGAUAACGAACGAGACCUUAACCUACUAAAUAGUUACGCGAUUCUCGAAUCGUGGACAACUUCUUAGAGGGACUAUCGGUGUUUAAUCGAUGGAAGUUUGAGGCAAUAACAGGUCUGUGAUGCCCUUCGAUGUUCUGGGCGGCACGCGCGCUACACUGACGAAGACAGCGAGUUUAUAACCUUGCUUGAAAAGGCUGGGUAAUCUUCGAAACUUCGUCGUGCUGGGGAUAGAUCUUUGUAAUUAUCGAUCUUAAACGAGGAAUUCCUAGUAAGUACAAGUCAUCAGCUUGUGUUGAUUACGUCCCUGCCCUUUGUACACACCGCCCGUCGCUACUACCGAUUGAAUGGUUUAGUGAGGUCUCGGGAUUGCCAGAUUGACGGGUCAAACUGUCUUUUUGGCGAAAACUUGAUCAAACUUGAUCAUUUAGAGGAAGUAAAAGUCGUAACAAGGUUU